rnacentral:rRNA from 1 species
GAUGAACGCUGGCGGCGUGCCUAAUACAUGCAAGUCGAGCGAACAGAUAAGGAGCUUGCUCCUUUGACGUUAGCGGCGGACGGGUGAGUAACACGUGGGUAACCUACCUAUAAGACUGGGAUAACUUCGGGAAACCGGAGCUAAUACCGGAUAAUAUUUCGAACCGCAUGGUUCGAUAGUGAAAGAUGGUUUUGCUAUCACUUAUAGAUGGACCCGCGCCGUAUUAGCUAGUUGGUAAGGUAACGGCUUACCAAGGCGACGAUACGUAGCCGACCUGAGAGGGUGAUCGGCCACACUGGAACUGAGACACGGUCCAGACUCCUACGGGAGGCAGCAGUAGGGAAUCUUCCGCAAUGGGCGAAAGCCUGACGGAGCAACGCCGCGUGAGUGAUGAAGGUCUUCGGAUCGUAAAACUCUGUUAUUAGGGAAGAACAUACGUGUAAGUAGCUGUGCACGUCUUGACGGUACCUAAUCAGAAAGCCACGGCUAACUACGUG